UUAUGGCCAUAUCAAAUUGAAACAUCGGUUCCUGUACAAUCACUGAAGUCAAGAAAUGUCGAGACUGGUCAGUACUUAGAUGUGUGACUGCUUGGGAAUAUCAGAUGUUGUAA